GAAGCAGCAACCCAUUUUGUUGGUUCCCUUGUUCAGAAUUAAACUGAGUCUAGUCCUUAUUCCAUUCCCCUCCAAGCUGUAACAAAGAGAAGGAAUACCCACACAAGAAAACGAAUAUUUCCCUUCCCAUCUUCAACCACCAAGCGCUGAUUAGGAGUUGGCAAGUCUGAGUUUAUAAGUUUGUACCCAGAGCCCAGUUCCUUUAUUUUCCCCCUCAAGAUCGCAUACCACUUAUGCAGAAGAACAAAUAUCACCUAGCUUUCAAGUUUCUUCCUCCCUUUUUGAGCGCUAGGCUGAACAUCAGCAGCAGGGUUACAAGUUCUGUUCCUUCCCAUUCUUCUCUCCCCAAGUCGCUGAUCUUUAGAAAGGAGGAAUGAAAACCUAAGCAACCAUCUUCAUUCCCUUCCAAUGGUGCGCUCGGCUGAACCACAAAGAGGGAUAGGUGAUGAACCUCUUCCAUGUCCCUAUUUCUUUGCACCAUUCCGUUUUGUAAGCUUCUUUUCCCUGAAUGCAGUUUGAACGUAUUCUUUGGAUGAGCAUCUUCCUCAAGCGGGCUUGAGAGUUUUUUGGACACAUGCAUGAGGGUAUGAGUUGAGUUAUCAUAACUCUCCUUCCACCCCCAUGUUUCGACCUUCACAUAUGACCUAGGAGAGUGGUAAUUGGUGAGUUCUUUUUGUUCCUUUUCUGUUCAGCCCUGCAACGUUGGACUGUUGGAUACAUGCAACCAAAAUCUGAGUUUGGGAACUUGAAAGGUGCGCAAAUUCCCUAAGAGCGUGGUCUAUUCUUGUGCUGUUUGAUUGAUACUUGGCUGUUUGAUUGAUGCUUGGACUCACAAGGAGGACUUAGGAGCAAUUGAAGAAGUGUUUGAUGACAUGAUCACAUGGCUAAAUCUGUUUAAGUUAUGCUGGUGACAACAUUGUUGUUUGCUUGUUGUUUCUGCUGAUUGUAUUUUGAUUAUUUGACCUUGAUGUAGUUUCUUAAAGAAUGGCAUGCCAUGAUGUAUAUUCUGUUUUGAAAAGAAGUGUAGCAUGAUGUUUAUAAUUCUGGUAAUUAGUUUGUGAAAAUAAUUACUGUUGUACUUAAAUUCGGAUUUUUGAAAUGUUUUUGCGAGCACUUUGCGAGUUGCCGUUCUGAGGCUACAGACCUCCGAAUGAGGUAUAAUUUAUAUGUGUAA